GUUUUUGUGUCUUUGACUGGACAACACAGAAUCAAAAUAACACAAGAUGUUGCAAGUCAGAAUUUGACCCGUAUUGACUAUCUGCAUAAUUCGUCUAGUCAGGAAGAGAAAUAAUGUCACUUACGGACUAGUAGUCCACAGAUACAAGCUGCAUGUGACUAAUAGUGCAAAUGCACUAUUUGUAUCUCUAAGUGUACACCUAAAGUCUGUUUUCAGUAAAAGCCAAGAUGAACUUUUUGUACUUCCACAAAUAAAACUCAAAUCUUCCCAGGAGGCAAACACAAUCAAAUGAAACAAAUUUUCCUUUGUCAUGAAAUAUGACUACAAAUACUUAGAAUAACAGGGAGAUGAAUUCAACUCUGAAGCAGAAAUUUAUGACUCGGUACUACCUUAAGUGUAUAAUACCAGUGAUAUCUGUUAUACAAUAGCAGUGAUAGUAGAGAAGAUAUUAUACUAUAAUCAGAACUGGCAUAUAUCUCGUACGUAAUAACAAAGCUCAUAGCUGUCAUCAGCAAUUGUUAAGUCAUACUGAUUACCACCAGCAAUAAAGUAUGCAUCACUGGUGACAGCAGAGAACUUCAUUUUUUUGAUUUAGGAGGUCUCUUCCAGUCUUACUUUUUUUUUUCUUGUUCCCUAAUUCAUUUGAUAAAAACUGAUCCUUAUGACAGAGAUGUGUAUCAUCAUUAGGGUUCAGAGUGAACAUCCCAGGGCAGUGCAGGCAGUGCAGUACAAAGGAGAAAAAAGCGGGAAGAAAUUCAUUUUUCCCAGAGUCAUCAUUUCAUGUAAGGAAGAGGACUUAUUAUUUGUUAUGCUUAUCUUGCUUUUAAUGGCUGGCUUUGUAACCAGGUUCAGGCCAGAGAGCAUGAAGAGAAGAGACCAAGAUCUAGCACAGCACUUCUGCUUUUGCUCAGGAGGGAAGAUCCGUAAGCCCAAAGAUGUUGGACACCUCUGCUGCACCAGCACACAGCACACACGCAGGCAGAGCCAUCCUGGGACGGCUUGCACACAAGUUUCAGCUCCAGAUUAAGAAAAUAAACUUAGGUGCACACAGGCA
rnacentral:lncRNA from 1 species